UGUUGCUCCUAUGAACUACUGUGAUGCAUAUACUAUUUCCGUACAAUUGAUAAGCAGACUUUGCUACCUCUAAGUCAUUUCAGUGAGUAACCCAUUUCAGUUGGGGGUUUUCUGAUUUAGGCAAUUUCAUGGUGGCGGACUGAUACAAUGAGCUUUGCCUUGUUUUCCGUUGUUCUGCUUGUGGUGUUGGUUUACUGAGAGGAUGAGUCAGGAGAUAGAAAUGAGGAGAAGAAGCUUGCAUUUUCUAGCCAUGCUUCUUUGGUUUCCAGCGAGCUGCGACUCCAAUUCAGGUUCACAGUUGGUGGUAGUGACUUUGAUGUUUUUGCUCAAUCUAAUAUCAUAAGAAGGCUGCAUAGAUGAUUUUAGUUGCUACUGAUGCUUAAUUGAAUUGAUUGGGAACCAAAGUUACUUCUUUUCGGGGCACAUCUCAGCUAUCUAUGCAUCCUCGCUACAUACAUGAUGGUGUCACUAGAUCGAGUUGUUAUUGAACAUGGUGCAGUUCCCCUAUUUAUGUACUUUCUAAGAUCCAGCAGUGAUGAUGUCAGAGAGUAGGUUCCGACUACCUCUUACAUU